rnacentral:sRNA from 1 species
GCAUGUCGACCUAAGAGAACGCAAUUGGUGGCAGAGGCAUGGGAAUGGGCCGCCUUUGUCUCCCCAGCAAAUAAUACGGGAGGAUGCCUUAUCAGCCAUUCAUUGCUGCGCUGUUGGAACAGGUACAGGUGCCUAGCUGGAUUGUUCUGGAAAGGCUCUAUCGAUCUAUUCUCACCUGGUGGCCAGUAGCCUCCAGAAAUAUUUCCAGAGCAACAUACGGCUGCGAUUAGCUACAGUGCCAGGUCACAAUUGUCGCACCUACAAUUGUGAUGAAAUAUGAUCCUUGGAUGCCGUAACGAACGGUACAUCAGUCCAUGUGGGCAGGUCACAUUUCUUCCGUGUGAAAGAGAAAUGAAAAAAAGACUGGAAGAAUCAAAAUUUGUCAUCCUCGGCUCGCAUACCUUUGCAAUGAGCCCUAACUAACCUCUGCAGGAUGAAAAAAUAAGAAUAAAAAUAAAAAAUAAGGC